rnacentral:misc_RNA from 1 species
GAUGAAGAACGUAGCGAAAUGCGAUAAGUAGUGUGAAUUGCAGAAUUCAGUGAAUCAUCGAAUCUUUGAACGCACAUUGCGCCCCUUGGUAUCCCGAGGGGCAUGCCUGUUCGAGCGUCAUUUCACCACUCAAGCCUGGCUUGGUGUUGGGCGACGUCCUCUUUGGGGACGCGCCUCGAAUCGCUCGGCGGCGUGGCACCGGCUUUAAGCGUAGCAGAAUCUUUCGCUUUGGAAGUCGGGGCCCCGUCUGCCGGAAGACCUGCUCGCAAGGUUGACCUCGGAUCAGGCAGGGAUACCCGCUGAACUUAAGCAUAUCAAUAAGCGGAGGA